UAUUUUAUAGGUGAUGGAGCUCACCUUUAAUUGCUUAUGGCUGAUAGCCCCUACUUUAAU
rnacentral:ncRNA from 2 species